UUUUUAUACAUCAGCAAGGGGAGGGGCAAAAGACCUCCCUUCCAAGGUCGAGGUAUAAAAUACCAGUAAGUGUAGACCUUUCAAAAUACCUGGUAACCAGGCCUUGGCCAAAUCAUCCUAUUAUGCAGCCCUGCUGGGUAAAGCAAGCUCAGGCUUUCUGACCUUGAGUAAGGCCUUACUAGGAAGCCUCUGUGGGCCCCCACACCCAGGGCAGGGUUGGUGGGAUCAGAGAGUCCCUAGGUCCCUUCCACAGUUGGAGGAGGCUGGAUUGACUCCCUGCCCCUAGAGUGGAGGGACCCUUGUCUGCUGCAGUCUGCUGAGCUUGCGUCUGGGGUUUUCCUGGGCAAGACUGUCUUCCUCCUCUUCCUGGCCGAACCAUUUUACGGCACAGACCUCUUCCAGGCAGGCCCCUGUCCUGAGGAAGACCCAGGUGAAAGAGAGGGCCAGGACCAUUCCCCAUGCAGAGCAGAGCUUUACCCCAACGGUUGGUGGUUUCCCUCCUGCAGCUCUUCUUGAAUCUUCUCUCACGGGCAGCCGAGUGGGUGCUGCUAGCCCUGGAGUAGCCCCUCUGCCUCUGAGUCCCUCAUCUGCUGUGUCUCCCCACACUGGAUCCCUUCCUCUUUGGCACCCCCUGGCAGCAGUCCCAGCUGACCGGAAACUAUGGAUUUGUCACUUAAAUGCAUCACCCGAAUGGUCCUGCUGGAGUCUCUGCUCUUCAUCUUCAUGAUCCAGGCCUCCACUGUCUACACUGCUGUCAACUCUCCUGUCUUCUACACUCCCAUCAUGCUUUGAGCACUGACUGGCUUUUCCGGUCCAAAGAUCUAGAUACUUCCACAAUCCACCCCAAGGCGACACUGUCAGCCCGGCCUGCUUGCCCAGAGGUAGCAUCACACACAGUGGGCUGGGCCCUUCCACAUCCAUCAUUAACUGAGAAAAUGCCCUGCAGACUUGCCUCCUGUUAAACCUGAGAAUCGCGAGGAGAACAGACCAAAUCCACAAUUGUCCAAUUAAAGCAAGCAGUAUUUUGGAGUGCACCUGAGACUGGCCACCUGGCUGUCUCACCAUAAAUUGGGAUUUGAGAAAGCAGCUCCGGCUGGCCUUUUGAGGUCCUUUUUUUGUUUGUUUGUUUUUCAAGACAGGGUUUCUCUGUGUAGCUUUGGAUCCUGUCCUGGAUCUCAC